GCGUGCGGGAAGAAGGCCUUCGGGUUGUAAACCGCUUUUGUCGGGGACGAAAUCUCUCAAGCUAAUACCUUGAGGGGAUGACGGUACCCGAAGAAUAAGCACCGGCUAACUACGUGCCAGCAGCCGCGGUAAUACGUAGGGUGCAAGCGUUAAUCGGAAUUACUGGGCGUAAAGCGUGCGCAGGCGGCUUUGCAAGACAGGUGUGAAAUCCCCGGGCUUAACCUGGGAACCGCACUUGUGACUGCAAGGCUUGAGUGCGGCAGAGGGGGAUGGAAUUCCGCGUGUAGCAGUGAAAUGCGU
rnacentral:rRNA from 1 species